rnacentral:misc_RNA from 1 species
GGCAUUUUCUAUCGUUGAAUGUAUGGAAACCCAGAAUGCUCUGAAAACUAAGAAAUUAAUCAGUUUGAGCACGCAGCAGUUAAUAGAUUGUGCCCGAGGGGGUGGUGACAAUGGUUGUAAGGGCGGUAACAUCUGUACAACAUUGGCUUGGAUGAAUGACACAAAGUACAAGGAAGUUCAUGAGAAAGACUACCCCUUCAAAGAAAAGACCGGAACCUGUAGGAACAGUAGUACUGGAAUUCUGUCUAUCAUGGACUACUGGUGUACUGAUAUGGUAAACCAUGAGGAUGAUAUGAUAGCCAGUCUAUAUAACCACGGACCAUUGGCAGUCGCAGUUGAUGCAUCAACAUGGCAAGAUUAUAUAGAGGGCGUGAUUCAACACCAUUGCUCAGCCAUGUAUAUCAACCACGCUGUUCAAAUUGUUGGCUAUGACAAAUCAGGUGAAAUACCGUACUAUAUUGUUCGAAACUCAUGGGGAAAAGACUGGGGAUUGAACGGUUACCUUCACGUAAAAAUUGGUUCAAAUAUGUGCGGUAUUGCUACGAUUGUCGGCUCCUUAGAUGUGUAGUUAAUAUAUAUUUAAUGUAUCAAUACAAACAGAAAAGUAAAGCUAUUCUAAUAGCGUAUAUAUACAAAGAAUGCAAACAAAUACAAAAUGACAUGGUCUACUUUUCAAAAUGAAUACUGUGAAUUUUUACAAUUAGUAUUGUGGCAUUUAUUUAACUGGCAUUAAAUCACCUAAACUACAUCAUCUCGAGGUUUUACAAAUAAGAUAUCUGAGUCAGUGGACCUUUCAGUAUGAUUACUGUACUGUACUAUCCUUUUGAAUUACAUCCUGCAAUAUUAUCUAAGAGUGAAAUAUUGCAUAUCUUUU